rnacentral:rRNA from 1 species
UGCUCAGAAAUAACGCUGGCGGCAGGCCUAACACAUGCAAGUCGAGCGGAAACGAGUUAUCUGAACCUUCGGGGAACGAUAACGGCGUCGAGCGGCGGACGGGUGAGUAAUGCCUAGGAAAUUGCCCUGAUGUGGGGGAUAACCAUUGGAAACGAUGGCUAAUACCGCAUGAUGCCUACGGGCCAAAGAGGGGGACCUUCGGGCCUCUCGCGUCAGGAUAUGCCUAGGUGGGAUUAGCUAGUUGGUGAGGUAAGGGCUCACCAAGGCGACGAUCCCUAGCUGGUCUGAGAGGAUGAUCAGCCACACUGGAACUGAGACACGGUCCAGACUCCUACGGGAGGCAGCAGUGGGGAAUAUUGCACAAUGGGCGCAAGCCUGAUGCAGCCAUGCCGCGUGUGUGAAGAAGGCCUUCGGGUUGUAAAGCACUUUCAGUCGUGAGGAAGGUAGUGUAGUUAAUAGCUGCAUU